rnacentral:rRNA from 1 species
CCUACGGGUGGCAGCAGUAGGGAAUCUUUCACAAUGGGCGAAAGCCUGAUGGAGCAACGCCGCGUGCAGGAUGAAGGCCUUCGGGUUGUAAACUGCUUUUAUAAGCGAGAAAUAUGAUGGUAACUUAUGAAUAAGGAUCGGCUAACUACGUGCCAGCAGCCGCGGUCAUACGUAGGAUCCGAGCAUUAUCCGGAGUGACUGGGUGUAAAGAGUUGCGUAGGUGGCAUAAUAAGUAGCUAGUGAAAUCUGGUGGCUCAACCAUUCAGACUAUUAGCUAAAAUGUUAAGCUCGAGACCGUUAGGGGUAACUGGAAUGUCUAGUGUAGGAGUGAAAUCCGUAGAUAUUAGAAGGAACACCAAUAGCGUAGGCAGGUUGCUGGGACGGUUCUGACACUAAGGCACGAAAGCGUAGGGAGCAAACGGGAUUAGAUACCCCUGUAGUC